rnacentral:rRNA from 1 species
UACGUAGGGGGCUAGCGUUGUCCGGAAUCAUUGGGCGUAAAGCGCGCGUAGGCGGCCCAGUAAGUCCGUUGUAAAAGUCAAAGGCUCAACCUUUGAAAGCCGAUGGAUACUGCUGGGCUAGAGUCCGGAAGAGGCGAGUGGAAUUCCUGGUGUAGCGGUGGAAUGCGCAGAUAUCAGGAGGAACACCGGUGGCGAAGGCGGUUCUCUGGGCCUUACCUGACGCUGAGGAGCGAAAGCGUGGGGAGCGAACAGG